rnacentral:rRNA from 1 species
GCCGUUGCUGCUCUUCCAUUUGGCCAUCAUCUAGUCAUCCUUGACUCAACAAUGCCCCCCUCGUCGUCCUCGUCUCCGAUGCCGGUUAUGGAUGUGCGGAUGGGGCUGGUACUUCACGUUGGAGCACUGAUAGUUGUGAUUUAGUCAUGGGUCAUGUUCAUGCACAAGAGAGCUAUUCAUCGUGCUGAGAGACCUGUCAUCAGAUAUGGUCCAAUGCUUAUGCGGGAGCAGGAGAGAAUCUCUAUUCUGAACUACAUAUACAACUACAACGACACAAAGGCUCUAUGGAUGCUUAGAAUGAAAAGGGCAUCAUUUGCCAGACUUGUUCAGACCUUUAGGUCCACGGGGUUGCUGGAAGAUAGCAUCCACACUAGUGUGGACGGGCAAGUGGCCAUGUUCCUUCAUAUUGUUAGUCGUAACCAGAGGUUCAGGGUGAUACACAACACGUUCAGGAGGAGAGAUGAUGUUGUAUGCUGUUGGGGAGCUCAGAGGAGAGAUGAUCAAGUCACCAUCUGGCCGGACUCCUAUCAAGAUUCACACAAGCCCAAGAUGGUAUCCAUACUUCAAGGUGAGCACUGCAGUAUGUAG